GACAGAGGGUGCAAACGUUGCUCGGAAUCACUGGGCGUAAAGGGCGUGUAGGCGGGAAGGAAAGUCAGAUGUGAAAUCCCUGGGCUCAACCCAGGAACUGCAUUUGAAACUCCCUUUCUUGAGUGUCGGAGAGGAAAGUGGAAUUCCUGGUGUAGAGGUGAAAUGCGUAGAUAUCAGGAGGAACACCGGUGGUGUAGACGGCUUUCUGGACCGUAACUGACGCUGAGACACGAAAGCGUGGGUAGCAAACAGG
rnacentral:rRNA from 1 species